rnacentral:rRNA from 1 species
GAGUUUGAUCCUGGCUCGUAUUGAACGCUGGCGGCAUGCCUUACACAUGCAAGUCGAACGGCAGCACGGGAGCAAUCCUGGUGGCGAGUGGCGAACGGGUGAGUAAUAUAUCGGAACGUGCCCAGUCGUGGGGGAUAACGCAUAGAAAGCUGUGCUAAUACCGCAUACGAUCUAUGGAUGAAAGCGGGGGACCGUAAGGCCUCGCGCGAUUGGAGCGGCCGAUAUCAGAUUAGCUUGUUGGUGGGGUAAAAGCCCACCAAGGCGACGACCUGUAGCUGGUCUGAGAGGACGACCAGCCACACUGGAACUGAGACACGGUCCAGACUCCUACGGGAGGCAGCAGUGGGGAAUUUUGGACAAUGGGCGCAAGCCUGAUCCAGCAAUGCCGCGUGCAGGAUGAAGGCCUUCGGGUUGUAAACUGCUUUUGUACGGAACGAAACGGCUCUUUCUAAUAAAGAGGGCUAAUGACGGUACCGUAAGAAUAAGCACCGGCUAACUACGUGCCAGCAGCCGCGGUAAUACGUAGGGUGCGAGCGUUAAUCGGAAUUACUGGGCGUAAAGCGUGCGCAGGCGGUUAUAUAAGACAGAUGUGAAAUCCCCGGGCUCAACCUGGGACCUGCAUUUGUGACUGUAUAGCUAGAGUACGGUAGAGGGGGAUGGAAUUCCGCGUGUAGCAGUGAAAUGCGUAGAUAUGCGGAGGAACACCGAUGGCGAAGGCAAUCCCCUGGACCUGUACUGACGCUCAUGCACGAAAGCGUGGGGAGCAAACAGGAUUAGAUACCCUGGUAGUCCACGCCCUAAACGAUGUCAACUGGUUGUUGGGUCUUCACUGACUCAGUAACGAAGCUAACGCGUGAAGUUGACCGCCUGGGGAGUACGGCCGCAAGGUUGAAACUCAANGAAUUGACGGGGACCCGCACA